rnacentral:rRNA from 1 species
UGAGGAAUCUUCCACAAUGGGCGAAAGCCUGAUGGAGCAACGCCGCGUGCAGGAUGAAGGCCUUCGGGUCGUAAACUGCUUUUAUAAGUGAAGAAUAUGACGGUAACUUAUGAAUAAGCACCGGCUAACUACGUGCCAGCAGCCGCGGUCAUACGUAGGGUGCAAGCAUUAUCCGGAGUGACUGGGCGUAAAGAGUUGCGUAGGUGGUUUAUUAAGCGAGUAGUGAAAUCUGACGGCUCAACCGUACAGGCUAUUAUUCGAACUGGUAAACUCGAGAAUGGUAGAGGUAACUGGAAUUUCUUGUGUAGGAGUGAAAUCCGUAGAUAUAAGAAGGAACACCAAUGGCGUAGGCAGGUUACUGGACCAUUUCUGACACUGAGGCACGAAAGCGUGGGGAGCGAACG